UUGUGAUGUGCCAUAUAGCUGGCAGAAG
rnacentral:sRNA from 1 species